CUUGUAGCCUACAUGUUUGUGUGAGCAUGAAGUGUUUUUUACCAACCAUCCCUUAUCUACUUGGCAUGAGAACAGAAUAAUGAAACUUUGCAUGGUAUUGCAUUUUUAAUUUUAACUUUUAUUUAUUUAUUUUGGCAGCUGUUGAACCAUGUCAGGAAAUGUCAAUAGUGCAGCCCAAUUCAGAGUAAUGGAAGAAUCUCUGAUGAAAUCUCUUUAUUCACAUCGGGAACACUAGAGACAUCACUGUUGGCAGUUAACUAAUCAUGGCAAUAUAUGGGAGCUAGUGAAGAUCUCAACUUUUCGAUGGCUCAAUGAGAUGCCACAUACUUGAAGUUUCAGAUACAUGUUGAAUCUUGAUCUCCAAUCUUCCUAUCGAUGACCCAGCUACAAUUUUGCACCUUCCAACAAAAUACCAUUCUAUGAACGGAUUCGACGAAACUUCCAUCCGAUACAAUAGCUUGGAUUAGAGAAGCCAGACCUGGUACCUUUCAUCCCUUCCAUGUUCAAGUAUUUGAGGGAAAGGGGGAUGCAAGUCGAAGUAAAGGUUGUCUACAUUGCAAUUGAGGCUCUUUGGCUUCAUACAUUCAUGGAUGUGGCCCCCUAGACUGCAUGGACAAACGAUCAAGACCACCAUCCAUCUGCUCGCCCCUACCGUUGUGGGUGAUUGUACAGAAGACGGAGAAUCCGUUCUACCUUAUUUCAGUUGCAGUCAGAUCAUGAAGACCAGCAUAUACACACACCUACUGUUUGUGGGUGAUUGUACAAAAAACAUGUGGAUAGGAGAAUCCUAGCUGCCCAAUUUUCUCUGUUGAAUGUGAUAUUUAUACAGUUUGUACAAAAAAUGGCUGAUUUUUGUCAUCACCCGUUUGCUUGGAGGCUCUUACUCA